rnacentral:rRNA from 1 species
GAUGAACGCUGGCGGUGUGCCUAAUACAUGCAAGUCGAGCGAACAGACGAGGAGCUUACUCCUCUGACGUUAGCGGCGGACGGGUGAGUAACGCGUGGAUAACCUACCUAUAAGACUGGGAUAACUUCGGGAAACCGGAGCUAAUACCGGAUAACAUGUUGAACCGCAUGGUUCAACAGUGAAAGACGGUCUUGCUGUCACUUAUAGAUGGAUCCGCGUCGCAUUAGCUAGUUGGUAAGGUAACGGCUUACCAAGGCAACGAUGCGUAGCCGACCUGAGAGGGUGAUCGGCCACACUGGAACUGAGACACGGUCCAGACUCCUACGGGAGGCAGCAGUAGGGAAUCUUCCGCAAUGGGCGAAAGCCUGACGGAGCAACGCCGCGUGAGUGAAGAAGGUCUUCGGAUCGUAAAACUCUGUUAUUAGGGAAGAACAAAUGUGUAAGUAACUAUGCACGUCUUGACGGUACCUAAUCAGAAAGCCACGGCUAACUACGUG